rnacentral:rRNA from 1 species
AUUACGGCUCAGUAACACGUAGUCAAUCUACCCUAUGGACGGGAAUAAUCUCGGGAAACUGAGAAUAAUGCCCGAUAGAACAUUAUGCCUGGAAUGGUUUAUGUUUCAAAUGAUUUAUCGCCAUAGGAUGGGACUGCGGCCUAUCAGUUUGUUGGUGAGGUAAUGGCCCACCAAGACUAUUACAGGUACGGGCUCUGAGAGGAGURGCCCGGAGAUGGGUACUGAGACACGGACCCRGGCCCUAUGGGGCGCAGCAGGCGAGAAAACUUUGCAAUGUGCGAAAGCACGACAAGGUUAAUCCGAGUGGUUUCUGCUAAAGAAACCUUUUGUCAGUCCUAGAAACACURAYGAAUAAGGGGUGGGCAAGUUCUGGUGUCAGCCGCCGCGGUAAAACCAGCACCUCAAGUGGUCAGGAUGAUUAUUGGGCCUAAAGCAUCCGUAGCUCGUUUUGUAAGUUUUCGGUUAAAUCCAUGCGCUUAACGUAUGGGCUGCCGGGAAUACUGCAUAACUAGGAAGUGGGAGAGGUAGACGGUACUCGGUAGGAAGGGGUAAAAUCCUUUGAUCUAUUGAUGACCACCUGUGGCGAAGGCGGUCUACCAGAACACGUUCGACGGUGAGGGAUGAAAGCUGGGGGAGCAAACCGGAUUAGAUACCCGGGUAGUCCCAGCUGUAAACUAUGCAAACUCAGUGAUGCAUUGGCUUGUGGCCAAUGCAGUGCUGCAGGGAAGCCGUUAAGUUUGCCGCCUGGGAAGUACGUACGCAAGUAUGAAACUUAAAGGAAUUGGCGGGGGAGCACCACAAGGGGUGAAGCCUGCGGUUCAAUUGGAGUCAACGCCAGAAAUCUUACCCGGAGAGACAGCAGAAUGAAGGUCAAGCUGAAGACUUUACCAGACA